CAUGCCCUGCCCCAAUACCCCCGUAUUUGCCAUCCCAGACCCCACCCCUCUCUUUCUCUCUGAAAAUUGGAGAACCCUAAUCCCCAAACGGCCAAACUCCUCUCCUCCGAACUUCGAACGUAGCCUGUAGCCACCAUUUCUCUUCGAAGUCAUCGUCACUCUUCUCCUCCGCACAGACGGUGGGUGCGAUGUCGCGUGUGGAAGGCUGGAAGCUCUGUUCGGUGGAAGUUCGAACGCAGCCCGCAACCGUCAUCCCUCUUCUCAUCCUUCCUCAUUUCGCUGCCGUCGUAGGAAGGUCUCCUACUCUCCUCUCCUCUCCUCUCAUCGUUCUCGGUCAUCGUCUCCUCUGUUCGACCUCUCUCUCUGUCUUUGCCUGUAGUUCCCGCUCCUCCGUCGCCGUCACUUCCUUUCUUCCCUUACCGCCAGCUCUCAUGUUUUUGCUUUUCUUUUGUAUUGAUGUUGAAAAUGCAAUUCUCAUAGUGGAUAGAGUAAGUUUCUAAACCCAAUAAGAAAGCAGUUAAUAAAGCAUUGUUAGGUGCAAAAGAAGCUAUGCUUGAGAUUAGAUGAGGCUGCAGGUGUUCCUUUCAUGCAGAUUGAACCAGAAUCACAAACAAAACUUUUGGAUGCUACACUGAACUUGGAAGGAGUGUUGUUGGCUGGAGUUCCAGGAGCACCAGGAACAGGAGGAUUUGAUGUUGUCUUUGCUGUUACUUUGGGAGAUUCAAGCAACAAUGUGAAAAAAAUAUGGAGCUUACUCAAUGUUAUUUAAUAUUUAAAAUUAUUGAAUUUAAUUAUUUGAAAUUGUAUAUUAAAUUUUUAAUAAUUUUAUUUAAUAUUUAAUUAAACCGAUUGAACUCCGGUUGAAUCUCGGUCGAACCGUUAAACCAGUGAAUCAGUCACCUUACCGGUUUGUUGACCGGUUCGGUUUUCGCAA